rnacentral:pre_miRNA from 1 species
CGGGGGAGGCCGGAUCCUGGGCUAUGUCCCGGCGCCCUGUGCUCCGGGGCCUGCGCUGUUGGAUUCGCGCUCCCGGGCCGCGCAACCCCCU